rnacentral:rRNA from 1 species
AUUGAACGCUGGCGGCAGGCCUAACACAUGCAAGUCGAACGGUAACAGGAAACAGCUUGCUGUUUCGCUGACGAGUGGCGGACGGGUGAGUAAUGUCUGGGAAACUGCCUGAUGGAGGGGGAUAACUACUGGAAACGGUAGCUAAUACCGCAUAACGUCGCAAGACCAAAGAGGGGGACCCUCGGGCCUCUUGCCAUCGGAUGUGCCCAGAUGGGAUUAGCUUGUUGGUGGGGUAACGGCUCACCAAGGCGACGAUCCCUAGCUGGUCUGAGAGGAUGACCAGCCACACUGGAACUGAGACACGGUCCAGACUCCUAAGGGAGGCAGCAGUGGGGAAUAUUGCACAAUGGGCGCAAGCCUGAUGCAGCCAUGCCGGGUGUAUGAAGAAGGCCUUCGGGUUGUAAAGUACUUUCAGCGGGGAGGAAGGGAGUAAAGUUAAUACCUUUGCUCAUUGACGUUACCCGCAGAAGAAGCGCCGGCUAACUCCGUG